UUUAUGAAGUGUUCAUUCAUAUCGUUGAUCUCGAACCGUGUACUAACAACAAAAAAAUAAUAAAUAUAAACAGAGUCGUGUAAGAAUAAUUUUAUUAGCAUUUAGUAGAAAUUGGUGUAAUAACGUUUGCGUGAUAGUAAAAAUAAAUUGUGAAAAAUCAACUGAUUUUCGUUGAAGAACAGAUAACAGUGCAAUAAACAAAUCAAUUAUGAAACCCAUGUAUCAACUAUCAGCAAUACUUCUGUCAAUAAUUUUAAUUUUAAGCAUUUCCACCAAAACCUAUGCCAAACGUGGCUGCGCUCUAUACGGGCAUUCAUGCUACGGUGGACAUGGAAAGCGGUCAGAGCCUCAAAUAUCAAACGAUGAGAAUCAAUUUCCUCAAAAUCCGUUCAGGAGCGAUCCGAACAAGGAACUUAGAGUCGACAUGAACGAACUUGAGCAGCCAGUUGGGGACGAUUUUUAUGAAAACCAGGAAAAAGAACUUCGUUACGCUGUGUACAACGUUAUGAGGCAAAUGAUUGAAAAUUCUCGACGAAAUAACCAAAACAAUGGCGACCUUAUCGAGAAAAUAACAACAAAAUAAUUUAUUAAGUUUUCCGAUUAACCGUUCUCGAUGACUUUAACUGCAUAGAAAUCCCAUAGAGCAAAACAAAAAAAUAUUUUUAUUUUAACUUUUAAAAAUUUAAAAAUUAUUUUUCGUGUCAAUGGCGGGAAUAUAAUUUAAAAAUUGUAAAUAAAGUAUCACGUAAUGGGUCGCCUGUUGAUAUAGAUGCAUGAAAAUAAAAUCUGCCUAACAACCGGCGAACUCUUUAUGAUUGUAAGAACAUUAUCCCCUCUAUAUUAGAACAAAAGAAAUGAGCAAAAAAUAUUCGCUAUGUUUAUAUAAUGUAAAAUGUAAGGCUGGAGCAUUUUUCAUCAUAUAAAAACAAAAUAUUUAUUUAAAUAAAAGUUAAUAUCAUAAA